AUUGAACGCUGGCGGCGUGCUUAACACAUGCAAGUCGUGCGGUAACAGGCGUAGCAAUACGUGCUGACGAGCGGCGAACGGGUGCGUAAUACAUGGGAAUCUGCCCUUUAGUGGGGAAUAACCCGGCGAAAGCCGGGCUAAUGCCGCAUAAGAUCCUCGGAUGAAAGCGGGGGAUCGUAAGACCUCGCGCUGUUGGAUGAGCCCAUGUCGGAUUAGCUAGNGGUGAGGUAACGGCUCACCAAGGCGACGAUCCGUAGCUGGUCUGAGAGGACGGCCAGCCACACUGGGACUGAGAC
rnacentral:rRNA from 1 species